rnacentral:rRNA from 1 species
GGCGCCUGUUUAACAAAAACAUGUCCUAUUGUAUUAUUUAAUAGGUCUGGCCUGCCCAGUGAUAAUUUCAACGGCCGCGGUAUAUUGACCGUGCAAAGGUAGCAUAAUCAUUAGUCUUUUAAUAGGAGGCUGGAAUGAAAGGUUUAACGAGAAAUUGACUGUCUCAAUUACAAUCUUGAAUUUAUCUUUUGAGUCAAAAGACUUAAAUAUAAUUGGUGGACGAGAAGACCCUAUAGAGCUUGACAAUUAUUUUUUUAUAUUUACUUAGACUGAGAUUAUUUAUUUAUAUUAAAAAAAUUGUUUUGUUGGGGUGACAAUAAAUAUAUAUUUAACUUUUAUCAUAAUAUUAACAUUAAUUUAUGAAUUUUGGAUCCAAAAAUUUUGAUCAUUAGACUAAGUUACCUUAGGGAUAACAGCGUAAUCUUCCCUCAGAGUUCAUAUUUACGGGAAGGGUUGCGACCUCGAUGUUGGAUUAAGAUAAUAAUUAGGUGCAGUAGCUUAAUUAAUAGGUCUGUUCGACCUUUAAAUUCUUACAUGAUCUGAGUUCAGACCGGUUUAAGCCAGGUCGGUUUCUAUCCCCAAUUUAAUAUCAGUUAUUAGUACGAAAGGACCAUAAUUGAAAAAUAUUUUUUAUGUUUUGAAUUUUAUU